CCCGCGGCGGGGGAAACCCGCGCGCUUUGUCAGCAGCGGCGCGGAGGGGCGAGGGCCGGGGGUGCGUGGACCCUCCCCGGCAAGGCCUGCAGGUCCCGGCUCGCCUGCAGCCCCCUCCCACGAUGUCUUAACCCGAACCGACCGCCCGGCCGAGGUGCUCCCCCUUGCAGGGAACCGGACGCCGCCAGCCCCUUCCUCCUUCCCAGCGGCCGCGCUGGGCUGUGCGCGCAGCGGGGGGCGCCUCACUGCCGCGUCGCCGCGGGGCCUCCAGCCGAUCCAAGGCGCGGGGCAUGAGGAGCCCCGGGGCGCCGCCCGGAGACGACCCGGCUGCUCGCACACCUCGCCAGCGCCUGACCGGGACAUGAGCAGCGCGCUCGGGGUUCGGCGCCCGGCGGCCAGCCCCAGCCGGCGGCGGCCAGCGGGUCGGCGCUGCCGGGGAGAAUGAGGCAGGAGCCCGCGGCAGCCUCCUCUUUCUUCUCUUCCUCGCCUGCUUCCGUCUCCGGCGCCCCGGGCCCCGGCCAGACUGUGGUCCUGCUGCGUGCCCUGCGCGCCCCCAGCCCGCCUCCGGAUGCGCUUCUCGGUUAGCCUGGGGAGGAAGAUAAAGACAUUUGCAACCAAGAUGGUAAUCACGGGUGGAAAUGAUGAUGAUAGAGGAAGCCAAGAAAAAGAGAGUAAGGAAGAGAGCGUGUUGGCCAUGCUGGGGAUCAUUGGGACCAUCCUGAACCUAGUUGUCAUCAUAUUUGUGUACAUAUACACCACGCUGUGAGUGGCCCAGGGCCGUCGAGGCCUCGGAGUGGCCAGCUGAUGGGCGUCCCUUGUGUCCUCCAGUCCGUGACCCAGCGCACACCGGCAGGCCCUUGACCCACGCACGACGCGGUGAGAUGCGCCUUCGAACUUCCUAAAAAGUCACCAAAUAAACCGAUCUUGCUGCAAGGAGCAGAUACUCAAGCACAAUGAAUCCAACAAAACUCACUCUCACAACCAGGAACUCAACGACGUGGGCAGGGGGCCCAGCAGAACGCCCAGAAGCCCAGCCUGGACCUCACCGCUAGCGGGCGGGUGCUGACACCCGCGGUCCCCACUGCCGGUGGAGAUCACGCCUCAGAGGGAGGAACAGGACGCAGGACACGCGCGACCCGUCCACUCAGCGAGCUGCUCAGUGCGAAGCCACGGGGCAGUCCUCAGACAGGCAUCCCACUCAUCAAAAGUGUCUAAACUCUUUGAUACCAGGGAGAUAACUUAUUUUUCUUUUUUCAUUGGCUUGACGUGUGUAUCUGUUCAUAUCGAGGUUUAUAAAUAUAUAUUUUUAAUAAAUGUGCUCUAUUUUUUAGCAUGAACCAAAUAUUUGGAGAGGCGCCCCCAGAUUCAGCGCUUUCCUUGUCUUAUCUGCUUCGCCCCUAGACUGCAGAUGUGUCAUGUAAUCAUCCCACACUUAACCCUCCCUGUCUCUCUCUCUGUCUCUCUCUGUCUGGAGGAUAUUUUUCCAAACUACCAGCUGUGGUCUUGGUUGGUGCAUGUUUUAGGAUUGUCCGUGGAGUGGCUUUUUGUCGUGCUAUCAGAGAUAUCCUGUGGUGCACUGCCUCCUUCCUGAGAAUUAUGCAUGAUCAAGGGCUGAGUGACAGACCAGCUUUAAAAACUCUCACCAGGACGCCUGUCGGGAAGAGCAGCCGUGUCUGCACGUCGUCUCUGGUGGAACGUUCAGCUUCCCUGAGCGGCUUCCUAUUCUUUCAAUCCUCUGGCCAUUUGUUGAUGAGAUUGUGACUUGGAUGGCCAGGCGCGCGAAGGAUGGGGAAGAACAAGGUGGGAAGCUCAACAGUAGGUGCAUAACUCCUUCCUUAGGGAGCCCCUGUCCAAGCAGGUACGCUCCUGGGCUUUUCGGGCUGGGAGGACCCCGGGACAGGUGACUGUGCAAGGGCACUGAAAGGUCACGAGCGAUCGCCUGCAGGAUCGCUGUGCUUCUUAACACUCCUGGUUUGUGCCCACAGGAAGCUGCUUGUCCCCGGCAGGGUGGGUGAAUACGAGUGUGCCCUGUUCUCUGAUCCCUGAGAUGAGCCUUCUCCUGGCAGCAGGGUCGUGGCCUUAAACAAGGGUCAGAAUUUGUCUGCUAGCACCAGCCUCCCAGAUGGCAAAGGCAGCAGCACCUGCCUGGAUCUGAACAGCACCCAGGAAGUCUCUGCUGCCGGACUCCUCACUCGCCAUGUUGUCGUGUCCGAAGUUCCACCGGUAGAGAGUCAUUUCUCAGGCCUCUUAAAGACCAGGCUCUUUUAUAAAUCACAUCCCCUGAGCAUCUGGCUCUGAUGUCGAUUCAUCAGGUGUUUUCUCUUCCCCACCAGAAGGCCGACAGCAUUCAGGGCACUCCGAGUGCCACACGCUCUGUAUUCCUUAUGUCGUCGGCCCUCCCAGGAGGCCUGGGCUGGGGGAGUCUCUCCCAACAUGGUAGAAGAAAGGGGGACUCCCCAAGACCAGCAAACAUCCCUAGGAUCACACGGCUACAGGCGGAGUCAGGACUUAACCCCCUGUUCUGUCUGAUGGCUGGGGUCAGCCUGCAGGUGCUGGAAGGUCCUGGAGGCCCCGCCUCCCCCAGGAUCUUGGGGAAGAGAGGAAAUGAGGGGAGGAGGGCAGGAAGGGCUGUCCAGGUCAGGACGCAAACCCGGGGGCUUUUCUGAGGACCGGCUCUGCAUCCCUCCCUCCGAAUCCCCCCUAAACACAAACAGGCCCUGAGCUCCUUGGACACCGGCCGAGUGUCAUACAACAGGCCGUGUGACAAGAGGGGGCUGGUGUGAAAUGCAAGGGGCGUGGGGGCAGGGAGUAGCCUCGCAGGCUCUGUGUGCUUCUAGAAGGACUGUGUGAAAAUUCUGGACAGUGAGCGGAGUGAACAAUAAA